CGUGUGCUUACAAGUAGUCAGAGCCCGUUAAUGGGUGAUGGCGUGCCUUUUGUAGAAUGAACCGGCGAGUUACGAUUUGAUGCAAGGUUAAGCAGUAAAUGUGGAGCCGUAGCGAAAGCGAGUCUGAAUAGGGCGUUUAGUAUUUGGUCGUAGACCCGAAACCAGGUGAUCUACCCUUGGUCAGGUUGAAGUUCAGGUAACACUGAAUGGAGGACCGAACCGACUUACGUUGAAAAGUGAGCGGAUGAACUGAGGGUAGCGGAGAAAUUCCAAUCGAACCUGGAGAUAGCUGGUUCUCUCCGAA
rnacentral:rRNA from 1 species